UUAACCUCAAAUCAGGUAGGACUACCCGCUGAACUUAAGCAUAUCAAUAAGCGGAGGAAAAGAAACUAACAAGGAUUCCCCUAGUAACUGCGAGUGAAGCGGGAAAAGCUCAAAUUUAAAAUCUGGCAGUCUUUGAUUGUCCGAGUUGUAAUCUAGAGAAGUGUUAUCCGCGUUGGACCGUGUACAAGUCUCCUGGAAUGGAGCGUCAUAGAGGGUGAGAAUCCCGUCUUUGACACGGACUACCAAGGCUUUGUGAUGCGCUCUCAAAGAGUCGAGUUGUUUGGGAAUGCAGCUCAAAAUGGGUGGUAAAUUCCAUCUAAAGCUAAAUAUUGGCGAGAGACCGAUAGCGAACAAGUACCGUGAGGGAAAGAUGAAAAGAACUUUGGAAAGAGAGUUAAACAGUACGUGAAAUUGCUGAAAGGGAAACGCUUGAAGUCAGUCGCGUCGUUCAGAACUCAACCUUACUUUUGUGGGGUGUAUUUUCUGUUUGACGGGUCAGUAUCAAUUUUGACCGUUGGAUAAAGUCCUUUGGAAUGUGGCUUCUUCGGAAGUGUUAUAGCCUUUGGUCGCAUACAACGGUUGGGAUUGAGGUACUCAGCACGCUGCAAAGCCGGGUUCGACCACGU
rnacentral:rRNA from 1 species